UAUAGCUCAGUGCACAGCACCUGCCUGGCAAGCACGAGGUCCUGAGUUCAAUUCCUAGUA
rnacentral:tRNA from 1 species